rnacentral:rRNA from 1 species
AUUGAACGCUGGCGGCAGGCCUAACACAUGCCAGUCGAGCGGAUGAAGGGAGCUUGCUCCUGGAUUCAGCGGCGGACGGGUGAGUAAUGCCUAGGAAUCUGCCUGGUAGUGGGGGAUAACGUCCGGAAACGGGCGCUAAUACCGCAUACGUCCUGAGGGAGAAAGUGGGGGAGCUUCGGACCUCACGCUAUCAGAUGAGCCUAGGUCGGAUUAGCUAGUUGGUGGGGUAAAGGCCUACCAAGGCGACGAUCCGUAACUGGCCUGAGAGGAUGAUCAGUCACACUGGAACUGAGACACGGUCCUGAGUCCUACGGGAGGCAGCAGUGGGGAAUGUUGGACAAUGGGCGAAAGCCUGAUCCAGCCAUGCCGCGUGUGUGAAGAAGGUCUUCGGAUUGUAAAGCACUUUAAGUUGGGAGGAAGGGCAGUAAGUUAAGACCUUGCUGUUUUGACGUUACCAACAGAAUAAGCACCGGCUAACUUCGUG